rnacentral:rRNA from 1 species
CGUAGGGUGCGAGCGUUAAUCGGAAUUACUGGGCGUAAAAGGGUGCGUAGGCGGUUCGUCGUGUCUGGUGUGAAAUCCCCGGGCUCAACCUGGGAAUGGCAUUGGAAACUGGCGGACUAGAGUGUGGCAGAGGGAGGUGGAAUUCCGCGUGUAGCAGUGAAAUGCGUAGAGAUGCGGAGGAACACCGAUGGCGAAGGCAGCCUCCUGGGCUAACACUGACGCUGAGGCACGAAAGCGUGGGGGAGCAAACAGGAUU